rnacentral:rRNA from 1 species
GGGUCAGUAGGCUGGUCGUGCCACCGGUACGUACUGGUCUCACUGAUUCCUCCUUCCUGAAGAACCGUAAUGCCAUUAAUUUGGUGUUGCGGGGAAACAGGACUGUUACUUUGAAAAAAUUAGAGUGUUUAAAGUAAGCUAACGCUUGAAUACAUUAGCAUGGAGUAAUGAAAUAGGACGAUCGAUCCUAUUUUGUUGGCUUCUAGGAUUGACGUA